rnacentral:tRNA from 2 species
GAGCUUGUAGCUCAGUUGGUUAGAGCAUACGCCUGAUAAGCGUAAGGUCAACAGUUCAAAUCUGUUCAAGCUCA